rnacentral:rRNA from 1 species
GACGUAGGGGGCCAGCGUUGUUCGGAAUUACUGGGUGUAAAGGGUUCGUAGGCGGUGUAGCAAGUAGGGGGUGAAAUCCUGCGGCUUAACCGCAGGGCUGCCUUCUAAACUGUCAGGCUUGAGCACAGUAGAGGCAGGUGGAAUUCCCGGUGUAGCGGUGGAAUGCGUAGAGAUCGGGAAGAACAUCAGUGGCGAAGGCGGCCUGCUGGGCUGUUGCUGACGCUGAGGCGCGACAGCGUGGGGAGCAAACAGG